AUGUUUCCACGCAUUAAUCAUCCAAUGUAUCCCUGAAAAUUUGAAGAUCGGUGAAAAGAUGAAGUUGGCAUCGAGUCUUUCGACACUACUUCGAGCAGUGGUAACAAUUUUGAAAGAGGAGUUAAUGCGAGAAGUUCCGGCGGGGAACGCAAUUAUCCGCCACUGCUCGAGUGCCGUGGCUCAACAGACUUUCAACGUGUUCAACGGAAAUUGUAUUUUCUUCUUCUUCUUUCUCGUCCAACCGUGCCACUUUGUCCAAUAGGAGUGGGGGGGAAGGUCUCUUGCCUCGAGAGAUCGAAUCGAUAACCGAUGAUUCUUGCUGAAACUUUGCACGGAACGUCGUAUGUGCGACGGUUGUUUCGUCUUAUUUUUUUUUUUUAACAAAUUUCGCGUGGAAUUAAAACCAAAUAGAUAUCCAAGGCGUUAUUUUGUGGGGAAAAAAGGUGAAAAGAGAAGAGAGAAAAAUUAAACAAAGGUAAAUAUCGCGGAAAGGAAACAAGGAUCUCUUCUUCGUGCUCUUUCGAGUGGCCGGUUGAAGAGUGCUACGUUAAGGAAAGUUUUAAAAGCACGCCUUUAAUUCCAUUCAAUGCUAUCACUCGCCGUUGGAAUGAACAUUGAAAACACAGCCACUGUGAAACUAAUGAAAUUGAUUUGCACCGUUCCUUCCCGACUUGGUAAAGAGUUCAAGCUCUCGAAGACACUGUUUCUUUUAAUCUUAUUUAUUGUGCUUGUAGCUUGAAACGGAGCUGCCAUUUACCACGGAUCAAAAAGAAAAAAAUAAUAAAAAAUUGAAAGAUG